UACGUAGGGGGCAAGCGUUGUCCGGAUUUAUUGGGCGUAAAGAGCGUGUAGGCGGCCAGGUAGGUCGGUUGUGAAAACUGGAGGCUCAACCUUCAGACGUCGACCGAAACCAUCUGGCUAGAGUGCGGGAUGGGAGAGUAGAAUUCCUGGUGUAGCGGUGAAAUGCGUAGAUAUCAGGAGGAAUACCGGUGGUGUAGACGGCUCUCUGGACCGCCACUGACGCUGAGACACGAAAGCGUGGGUAGCAAACAGG
rnacentral:rRNA from 1 species